UAGUGGGAAGGGCCCUGCUUUCGGCAAGAUGCAAAUGGUGGUGGGGAGGGGGAAACCCAGAGAGAGAGAGAGAAAGCAGUCGCGGGGAGCGAGAGACCCGGGCCGGGAGCUGAGCUUGCCGGGGCCCAUUGUACUCACGCUGGGGGGCUGAAGACCUUCUUUUGUGGGUUCUGCUUAUCAGCUAAACUUUAGCUGACCUUUGGACUUGUUAAAGCAAGUGGCUUGCAGCCUAGGUGCGGGGACUUUUCCACUGGCCACACAGACGAAACUGCGCUUCUGGGGUUCAGUUUCAGGACACCCGCGGCGCAUUCUGCAAAGGCAAGGUCACUGCUGCAGUGUUGGGGAGUCUCACUCGCCAAGUGGAGAAGGCACUGAGAAAGCCACUGAAGGAACGAAGUUUUCCCCAGCCAGACCUGGCUGGGAAGGAAGCCCUGGGCGCUUCAACACUGCAGGAGUUUCUGCCACAACUCCUCUGGGACGGCGGCAAAGGGGAGGAAGGAGGCACCCAACUCACCCAAGCCUAUAGGCUGAGAUCUGACUUGCAGAACAGGGGAAGGGGCUCCUUAGGGUGUACCACUCAGACUCCUGGGGCAGAAGACACUCUUGUCUUUGAGCCCCAGUUUCCUCAUCUGUGGAAAAGGCUGAGAGGGUAGGUGCAGUGCAGCAGAGUUGUACACGCUGAAUAAGACCACCUGUGCAAACCCUCGUUCUGAAAAUAGUGUGCACACUUUCCAGUCUGGGAAGGCAGGAGGCCCCCUUGUAAAAGCCAAGAGGCCAGUGAAACCUAGCACUUCUGGAAGCUUGGAGUUCUCAGAAUCAGAGAGAACGAAUUCGGGAAUAGGAAGGACUCGGCCGUUAGGGACAAAAAAUGAGAAUCAGCAGGAAAAUUGCAAAGGAGCUUCUGAAUAUGUCCUCCUUUCUCUCCCACCUUCAGAGAUAAUUAGGAGAAAGCUGAGUUUAAACUAGGGAUAGAGAGAGAGCUUAGCGUGGUGGACAACAGGUGUCUGGGUCACCUGUCCUGGGAGCCAGAAAGAAAGGAGGUAGUUGUGUGUAUAGAUUCCUGGGAAGGUUUACACUUAUCUCAGUCCCUCUUCCCUGAAAAAGGGGUAAUAAAUCCAUAGAAGUGAGGGCCCUUCAUCCCGCCUUCUUGUUUUCUAGUUUGUUGUGACAUAUGGCAGAUGUUUGCCCACUGUAAUUCCACUCAGUGGAGAAUUUUCUGUCUCCUCAGCUCCUCUCAAGCAGGAUAAUGAAGUGUUCAGAGUAAAUGCCCCUGGAGAACAGCCUCCUCCCUCCUCUCUGUCUCUUUCUCUCUGUUAUAGUUAUAGAAGCACCAAGUACAAUGUAGAUCAGAUUCUAUGUUAAACUGGGAAGGCCCAUUAAAAAGCCAAACAUUACUUCUCUUUGUAACAAGAUAAUAGUUAAAAAGCAGUUGUAGUUCUAACUGCUGUUCACCUCCUUGAACUUCCAAGCCUCUUUCGCCCUCAACAUUCAGGUAUCAGCAAACCCAUUCUUCCCCACACCUCAGCCACCCAAAUAAAAAUACAGAAAUUGCACACAGGGGAAAAUUCCUAUGAGUGCCCAGUUAUAUCUUCCAUGUAAUCUUGCUAUUCAUAGCCAGAAAUUCCUGUAAGCCUCUUCCCCAGACCUGCCUUGUAUUUCUCACUUGCUGCUAUUGUAGGUACUUAUGACGUGGUUGCAAGUACUGUGAAUAGAUUCAGCACCUACCCUAAAAAAUUUAACAAAGAAUAAGGAGACCAACAGCAUAUCCUUUACAGUAUAGGUCUUAGAUUUAGCAUCUAAAUGAGUUCUGUCUUGAAACUCUUCAGAGAAACUUCUCUCCCCCAAUAGAAGAAGACUCAGCAUGUCUGCAAUAAUCUCUGCCUAUGCUUCACAUGGGAUAAAGUUGGGACAGACUGAGGCAGUAACCUCAUGUUAAAGAUGGGAAAAUAAGCUGGACAUUGUAGCCACUCAAGGAGGCUGAGGUAGGAAAAUCAGCAUGGACGACUUAAGAACUCUGUCUCAAAAUAAAAUAAAAGCUGCUACAAAUGUAGUUCAGUGUUAAAAUAUUUGCCUACCAUGCACAUGAGGCCCCAGAUUUGAUAGCAAUACUGAAAAAAAAAAAAAAGAAAAGAAAAGACAAGACACUGGAAAGUCUACAGAGAUGUUGCUUGUAACCACUGGAGGAAGUUAAUUUGAGUGCUGUUUGGAGCAAGGCUUUAGGAUGAAAGAAGAGGGUCCCUAGCUUUCAUUGUUUUGGGAGAUGAGAGUUGAAAGGGAGAUUCUUUGGGGCAGGGGGAGAAUACACAGCUGAGAAGGGGGGCAGGCUCUGUAGUCAAACAGACCUAAACGUGCAAAAGAAUAAUGACGUUAUACUGUGUUUUCGUGAAAAUGAAAUGCAUUAACAAUCACAGGUCCCAGGAGUAUGGCAGGCUCUCAUAUAUUUAGAAAAAUAGAGACACACCAUGAAGUCAUGCUGAGAAGCGAGGCAACUGAUCUCUUUGGGCUUUUAUAUUCCCAGAUUGUUUUUAAGAGUUACUGAAUUCGAAGAGACACUAUUAGGCUCUUCUUCCAACAAAUUUGCAGUUAGAUUCCAAGAUUUUCUAAGGGAGAUGCCGUCCCUGGUAUGAAAUAAUUUGAAAUCUACUUGGCAUAUCAUUUAUGAAGGUUUUCUGAGCAUCGUGUUGGUAAUUUUACCAAAUGGUGGAUGCAGCUCCUGUGAACUCACUUCGCCUGUAAUUUUCUUCAGUUUGUGAUAGUUUCCCUUCCUACUACCACCACUUUCCACGUUUACCUUUCUUUGUUUACAGGAGACCCUGGUCUUUCUGAUCUCUGCUCUUCUGCUCUCGAAGGCUUCCCACUGAGUUGGCGGUGACUAGUAGGGCUCCAAGUGCAAUCGUCCCUGGAAUAAAACAUAAAUACCAUUCUAUCCUGUUCUGAGCUGUUGAAACCCACAAAACAUUCUAGACUCCAGGGUCAGAAGCUUGAGGUUCUAAUUCUGGCUAUAACACUCCUUUCUGGGUGAUUCUUCACCCCCAAAGGCUUUAGUGAGUACCUCCUCUGGGCCUCUGAUUCUGCUUUUGAAAAAUGACCAGUUGGUUUGGAUAACUAUGUAAGAACUCCAAUUUUCCUGAUCUGAAAUUACUAAAAGGUCUUAAAUUACUGGAGUCUCCACUUCAAGCUUUUUGGCCAGAUAUAGUGUAAGAGCUCAGGCCAGAUCUCUGAAUAGUAGUGUACAUGAGAUGUUUGACUAGCCCAUGAAAAAUACACACCUCAGGCUGUAAAGGUCCACAAGGGUUAAGGACUUUCUCAUGUCUCGCUCUUCAAUGCCUGGAGAGGUGCUGAUAUAAAGUAGAUGCUUAACAAAAUACCGAAGAAGAGAAUAUAUCUCUGGAUUAUACUGUUAGAGAUGAUUUUUCUGUUUGCUUAUUUAUACUUGUCAGAUUUUCUCAAUUAUCAGCAGUAAAAUUCUAAUACAAAAAUAAUUUUUUUCCAGAUACGAAAGGAUAUAUACUGUGUGAUUACAUGUAUAGGCACUUAAAAAGUAGAAAGAGAAAUCUACAGUGGUAGCAGUUUCUGGAAUGGUAGAAAGGUUUCAUGCUUUAAUCAGGGUGGAAGAUACAUCAAGUGUCUUUACAUGUAGAAUGUGUGCAUAUUGUUAUAUAUAAGGUAUAACUUAGUAAAAAAAUUUUUAAAAAUAUUUCUAAAGUAUAAAAUGUAAACAGCAGAAGUCACCGUCUUACCCCUUCCACUGUUUACACUUGAUAUGUGGCCCUCCAGAAUCUUUUCUAUUCACCACGUGUAGUUAAUUGCCAUUGAAACCUCUAGACUCCUAGUAUAUCCCAGGAGCCAGCAAACUUUUUCUGUGAAAGAGCUAGAUAGUAAAUAUUUUAGGCUUUGUAGUCCAGAAAGUCUCUGUUGCAACUAUUCACUUUGCUAUUAUGGACAAUACCUAAAUAUGUGUGGCUGUGUUCCAAUAAAACUUUACUGAUAAAAACGUU